rnacentral:rRNA from 1 species
CACGUAGGGUGCGAGCGUUGUCCGGAAUUAUUGGGCGUAAAGAGCUCGUAGGCGGUGUGUCGCGUCGGCCGUGAAAACCUGCAGCUUAACUGUGGGCUUGCGGUCGAUACGGGCAUCACUGGAGUUCGGCAGGGGAGACUGGAAUUCCUGGUGUAGCGGUGAAACGCGCAGAUAUCAGGAGGAACACCGGUGGCGAAGGCGGGUCUCUGGGCCGAUACUGACGCUGAGACACGAAAGCGUGGGUAGCAAACAGG